rnacentral:rRNA from 1 species
ACAUACGCGUAGAGUUUGAUCCUGGCUCAGGAUGAACGCUGGCGGCGUGCUUAACGCAUGCAAGUCGAACGAUGAUCUCCAGCUUGCUGGGGGGAUUAGUGGCGAACGGGUGAGUAACACGUGAGUAACCUGCCCUUGACUCUGGGAUAAGCCUGGGAAACUGGGUCUAAUACCGGAUAUGACUGCUCCGCGCAUGCGGUGGUGGUGGAAAGCUUUUGCGGUUUUGGAUGGACUCGCGGCCUAUCAGCUUGUUGGUGGGGUAAUGGCCUACCAAGGCGACGACGGGUAGCCGGCCUGAGAGGGUGACCGGCCACACUGGGACUGAGACACGGCCCAGACUCCUACGGGAGGCAGCAGUGGGGAAUAUUGCACAAUGGGCGAAGCCUGAUGCAGCGACGCCGCGUGAGG